rnacentral:rRNA from 1 species
GACGAACGCUGGCGGCGUGCCUAAUACAUGCAAGUAGAACGCACAGUUUAUACCGUAGCUUGCUACACCAUAGACUGUGAGUUGCGAACGGGUGAGUAACGCGUAGGUAACCCGCCUGGUAGCGGGGAUAACUAUUGGAAACGAUAGCUAAUACCGCAUAAUAUUAAUUAUUGCAUGAUAAUUAAUUGAAAGGUGCAAUUGCACCACUACCAGAUGGACCUGCGUUGUAUUAGCUAGUAGGUGAGGUAACGGCUCACCUAGGCGACGAUACAUAGCCGACCUGAGAGGGUGAUCGGCAACACUGGGACUGAGACACGGCCCAGACUCCUACGGGAGGCAGCAGUAGGGAAUCUUCGGCAAUGGACGAAAGUCUGACCGAGCAACGCCGCGUGAGUGAAGAAGGUUUUCGGAUCGUAAAGCUCUGUUGUAAGAGAAGAACGGGUGUGAGAGUGGAAAGUUCACACUGUGACGGUAUCUUACCAGAAAGGGACGGCUAACUACGUG